AACAUUCACAUUCACAAUUUGGAAUGUGGGCGGAAAUGAGAGUAUCCGGAGAAACCAAACGAAGAGAGCACGCGUAUUUAGGAGGCCAGAGCCCCGAUUCGAACGCAUGACUUCCACAUCGUAAGGGCGGGCAUGCUAACCAGUUGUCAACCGUGCUGCUUUGAAAUAAAACAUAAAAGUUGCACCAGUGAGACAUUAAUUAACCCGGACUUGUAUGUUGUCUUAAAAACCUCCGCUCAUGCCAAGAAUGUCGCUAGCAACAGUAUUGUAGUUGGAAUGCGCAGGCUGUGGCUUCAAGUUAAAAAAUAAAUAAAAAUCCCGUCACAAGAGACACCCGUACUACACACAUCGGAGUACUGAGUGGAGGACAACGAGCCAAAUAUCUUGUUUGUGCCCUUCACGCGUCCUUGCUCCGUCUUUUCAAAGCUGGACACCCGGUCGACAUUAAACCCGAGACCACGCUGGCUUCAAGGACUCGUUGUUUUGAGGCACGCGGUUGCUUCCGGAGGCAAACGAGCGGCAGUGUCCCUGGCAGAAUCUCUCAGCGUGGCCUUUUGAGAGGAAAGGUCAAAUCGGGCAUCGGCGACAAGGUCGAGACAACGAUCGUUGAGAGAUCAAGGUAGGCCUGUGCCCUUUGCCAGUUAUUGCAUCUCACAUUGAUCGUUUGCGUUGGACCGAGAUGACAUUACGUUUGCUUGCGUGAUGCAAAAAAAACAC